UACGUAGGGGGCGAGCGUUGUCCGGAUUUAUUGGGCGUAAAGAGCUCGUAGGCGGUUCGAUAAGUCGGAUGUGAAAUCUCCACGCUCAACGUGGAGGGGGCCAUUCGAUACUGUCGUGACUCGAGUCCGGUAGGGGAGUGUGGAAUUCCCGGUGUAGCGGUGAAAUGCGCAGAGAAUCGGGAGGAACACCCGUAGCGAAGGCGGCACUCCUGGGCCGGUACUGGACGCUGAGGAGCGGAAAGCGUGGG
rnacentral:rRNA from 1 species